UNGGAGAGGAAAGUGGAAUUCCUAGUGUAGCGGUGAAAUGCGUAGAUAUUAGGAAGAACACCAGUGGCGAAGGCGACUUUCUGGACGAAAACUGACGCUGAGGCGCGAAAGCCAGGGGAGCGAACGGGAUUAGAUACCCCGGUAGUCCUGGCCGUAAACGAUGGGUACUAGGUGUAGGAAGUAUCGACCCCUUCUGUGCCGGAGUUAACGCAAUAAGUACCCCGCCUGGGGAGUACGACCGCAAGGCUGAAACUCAAAGGAAUUGACGGGGGCCCGCACAAGCGGUGGAGUAUGUGGUUUAAUUCGACGCAACGCGAAGAACCUUACCAGGUCUUGACAUUGAUGGACAGAACCAGAGAUGGUUCCUCUUCUUCGGAAGCCAGAAAACAGGUGGUGCACGGUUGUCGUCAGCUCGUGUCGUGAGAUGUUGGGUUGAGUCCCGCAACGAGCGCAACCCCUAUCUUAUGUUGCCAGCACGUAAAGGUGGGAACUCAUGAGAGACUGCCGCAGACAAUGCGGAGGAAGGCGGGGAUGACGUCAAAUCAUCAUGCCCCUUAUGACCUGGGCUACACACGUACUACAAUGGGAGUUAGUAGACGGAAGCGAGAUCGCGAGAUGGAGCAAACCCGAGAAACACUCUCUCAGUUCGGAUCGUAGGCUGCAACUCGCCUACGUGAAGUCGGAAUCGCUAGUAAUCGCAGGUCAGCAUACUGCGGUGAAUACGUUCCCGGGCCUUGUACACACCG
rnacentral:rRNA from 1 species